AAGAUUGGGGCAAGAUGGUCCAUGUUUUCAUUCUUUAUAUCGUAGCCUACCAUUUGGUGGUAAACAAAGGAAUAUUGACAGAAGUAUAUAACCUUGUAUUCACAACUUUAAAAGGGCGAUGUUUAUUGCUAAAAGCACUACCAGGAAACAUGUGAUAUUAUGUGCUAAAACGGAUUCCACCAAACAGUAUUCGGCAUUAGCGCACAAACAAUAGUUUACAAAAACCAGAAAUUCCUUAUUCUCAUAAUUCGUGCAGCUGCAUGGUUAGGGGAGGAAGCGUCAACAGUUUCCGAAGCGUGAGAAAUAUGUUCUACCACGAAGCUUCUACAUCCUUAACUGCACAACCAAUAACAAUGUUGGAACUGUUUGGAUAUAACAGACAACUUAUUGGGCGUUUUGAGUGGUUCAGUUAGAUUUCCGUAGGCUACGCGGCUAUUUAGUGAAUUUAUAAAAGCUAAACAGUAAUUAAACGCACAUGGAGUGGAUUUUUUGCGGAUUAUUUUACAAGUUACAAAUUCAUCACUAGAGCUCGCAUUUUGCAUUUGUUUUUCGCCCGCUGCUUAUUUAGUUUAUUUAUAAAGGUAAACCAGUAUAUAGAACUCGCUCUGUAACGCGCACCGCCUAUAAAUAUGAGCGCGUUAUAGACUAGCAUUCGCCCGCAGCUGCGCCCUUGCCUAUAGUUUUGCGUAUUGGUUCAAAGCUCUUCAAAGGAUAGUAUGUGCUGUUUUAAAAAGAAGAAACGGUUUGUAUCGAAAAGUUAAGCAUUUGCUUGUUAUUCUGAAAAUAUAAGCGACACAUAGCUACAAGGAAGUUAUGUGCUUGAAACUAUAGCUUUACAGAGCAACGAGUGCGAAUAGCCUACACGUGAUGAUACGCGAACACAAAAUGGUAACAACAAUGCUGUGGACGAUUUUAAACAACUGCCAUUUUAAAUAAUUUUUUAUUUUUUCCACAGAAACGUAUAAUACGGCCACAAAAUUGUUAAAUGAACUUUCUAACCACGCAUUUUACAUACACAGCAGUGCAAUAGGCUUGUGUAGAACAUGGGAGAAUACGCAAACCCACUUUUUGGAUGUUUUGAAGAUCCAGCUCUGUGUAUUAUUACAUUCAUUAUCCCAUGCUAUACUGCAGGGAAAACUGCGGAGUCUUUAGGGGAAAGUUGCCUCCUUUACGGGAUAUUGUAUUUGUUCACAGAAUGCAUUGCCGGCUGUAUCAUAAGGGGGAAAGUUCGGGAAAUAAAGAAUAUCGAUGGGACAAUGUUCAAAGACUUCGUGCUAAGUCUGUUCUGCCCAUGGUGUGCUCUUAUACAGGACCAUAGAGAAGUGGAUAACACAAAAUAUGACCAGUCGAUCGCCAGAGUGUAGAUUUAUCAUUGUGGAAGUCUGACCUUGAACCUUGUAUGCGGAACAUUGUUUUCUGUGCUGGGACUGCAACUAAUUGUAGAGAUUUUGUGAUACGAGAAUAAUAAAAGAUCAUCAUGUUGUUGA